rnacentral:tRNA from 1 species
GUUGGUAUAGCUCAGUGGUAGAGCAUUCGUCUGCAUAUCGAAAUGUCCCCGGUUCAAACCCGGGUGUCCCCU